rnacentral:rRNA from 1 species
UACAGAGACCUCAAGCGUUGUCCGGAAUCAUUGGGCGUAAAGAGCGUGUAGGCGGUCCGGUAAGUCCGCUGUGAAAGUCGGGGGCUCAACCCUCGAAUGCCGGUGGAUACUGUCGGGCUAGAGUGCGGAAGAGGCGAGUGGAAUUCCUGGUGUAGCGGUGAAAUGCGCAGAUAUCAGGAGGAACACCUAUUGCGAAGGCAGCUUGCUGGGACGUAACUGACGCUGAGACGCGAAAGCGUGGGGAGCAAACAGG